GCGGGGAUGGCCGAGCGGUACGGCGAUGGCCUGCUAAGCCAUUGGGCUAUUGCCCGCGGGGGUUCAAAUCCCCCUCCCCGCGCUA
rnacentral:tRNA from 1 species